rnacentral:rRNA from 1 species
AAUAGAUACCCCGGUAGUCCACGCCCUAAACGAUGUCUACUAGUUGUCGGGUUUUAAUUGACUUAGUAACGCAGCUAACGCGUGAAGUAGACCGCCUGGGGAGUACGGUCGCAAGAUUAAAACUCAAAGGAAUUGACGGGGACCCGCACAAGCGGUGGAUGAUGUGGAUUAAUUCGAUGCAACGCGAAAAACCUUACCUACCCUUGACAUGGUCGGAAUCCCUGAGAGAUUGGGGAGUGCUCGAAAGAGAACCGAUACACAGGUGCUGCAUGGCUGUCGUCAGCUCGUGUCGUGAGAUGUUGGGUUAAGUCCCGCAACGAGCGCAACCCUUGUCAUUAGUUGCUACGAAAGGGCACUCUAAUGAGACUGCCGGUGACAAACCGGAGGAAGGUGGGGAUGACGUCAAGUCCUCAUGGCCCUUAUGGGUAGGGCUUCACACGUCAUACAAUGGUGCAUACAGAGGGCCGCCAACCCGCGAGGGGGAGCUAAUCCCAGAAAGUGCAUCGUAGUCCGGAUUGUAGUCUGCAACUCGACUAC